UACGAAGGGGGCUAGCGUUGUUCGGAUUUACUGGGCGUAAAGCGCACGUAGGCGGAUCGUUAAGUCGGGGGUGAAAUCCUGGAGCUCAACUCCAGAACUGCCUUCGAUACUGGCGAUCUCGAGUCCGGAAGAGGUGAGUGGAACUCCUAGUGUAGAGGUGGAAUUCGUAGAUAUUAGGAAGAACACCAGUGGCGAAGGCGGCUCACUGGUCCGGUACUGACGCUGAGGUGCGAAAGCGUGGGGAGCAAACAGG
rnacentral:rRNA from 2 species